UACAGAGGGUGCGAGCGUUAAUCGGAGUUACUGGGCGUAAAGGGCGCGUAGGCGGUUUAAUAAGUUUGAUGUGAAAUCCCUGGGCUUAACCUAGGAACUGCAUCGAAGACUGUUAAGCUGGAGUAUUGUAGAGGGUAGUGGAAUUUCCGGUGUAGCGGUGAAAUGCGUAGAGAUCGGAAGGAACACCAGUGGCGAAGGCGGCUACCUGGACAAAUACUGACGCUGAGGCGCGAGAGCGUGGGGAGCAAACAGG
rnacentral:rRNA from 1 species